rnacentral:rRNA from 1 species
AAAGUGAAGGUGCGUCGACAGCAUGUGUGAGUCUCUUCUUCUUUUUCCCCCCCUCUCUUUUGUGGAGGGGUGUGGGAGGGACCUG